rnacentral:rRNA from 1 species
GGGUUGUGAGGUUAAGCGACUAAGCGUACACGGUGGAUGCCCUGGCAGUCAGAGGCGAUGAAGGGCGUGCUAAUCUGCGAUAAGCGCCGGUAAGGUGAUAUGAACCGUUAUNCCUCCAAGGCUAAAUACUCCUGACUGACCGAUAGUGAACCAGUACCGUGAGGGAAAGGCGAAAAGAACCCCGGCGAGGGGAGUGAAAAAGAACCUGAAACCGUGUACGUACAAGCAGUGGGAGCACCCUUUGGGUGUGACUGCGUACCUUUUGUAUAAUGGGUCAGCGACUUAUAUUCUGUAGCAAGGUUAACCGAAUAGGGGAGCCGGAGGGAAACCGAGUCUUAACCGGGCGUUAAGUUGCAGGGUAUAGACCCGAAACCCGGUGAUCUAGCCAUGGGCAGGUUGAAGGUUGGGUAACACUAACUGGAGGACCGAACCGACUAAUGUUGAAAAAUUAGCGGAUGACCUGUGGCCUCCAAGGCUAAAUACUCCUGACUGACCGAUAGUGAACCAGUACCGUGAGGGAAAGGCGAAAAGAACCCCGGCGAGGGGAGUGAAAAAGAACCUGAAACCGUGUACGUACAAGCAGUGGGAGCCCCACCACCAAAGCAUUUGCUGUACCGCGUUGACGGAGCGAAGCGACGUCAAACCGAUAAAACAGCAGUGUAAAGUGAGCCGCAGGGCGCUUUGCGCGACAGCGCAAAGGCAGGCGGUUUCGCGUAGCGAAAGCGAAUGCUUUGGGGUGGGGUGACUGCGUACCUUUUGUAUAAUGGGUCAGCGACUUAUAUUCUGUAGCAAGGUUAACCGAAUAGGGGAGCCGGAGGGAAACCGAGUCUUAAUUGGGCGUUAAGUUGCAGGGUAUAGACCCGAAACCCGGUGAUCUAGCCAUGGGCAGGUUGAAGGUUGGGUAACACUAACUGGAGGACCGAACCGACUAAUGUUGAAAAAUUAGCGGAUGACCUGUG